GCCAGCAGCCAUAUCACUCUGCAACUCACAACUGGCAACCCAAUGAAGCUAAGCAGGUGUGAGCCUGGUCAGUUCUUGGAUGGGAGACCUCCUGGGAAAAACUAAGGUUGCUGCUGGAA
rnacentral:rRNA from 1 species